ACACGACUACAUUAGAUACCCGGGUAGUCCCAGCCCUAAACGAUGCGCGUUGGGUGUAUCGGUGACCACGAGUCACCGAGGUGCCGAAAGGGAAACCGUGAAACGUGCCGCCGUGGGAAGUACGGUCGCAAGGCUAGAAACUUAAAGGAAUUGGCGGGGGAGCACCACCACGGGUGGAGCCUGCGGUUUAAUUGGACUCAACGCCGGGAAGCUCACCGGAUAAGACAGCGGAAUGAUUGCCGGGCUGAAGACCCUGCAUGACCAGCUG
rnacentral:rRNA from 1 species